UCAACCCAUUUAACCUUCUAACCCAUCAAAUUAAAUGAGUUCAUGGGUUGACUCAACUCAUUUGCUUAAAUGAGUUGAGUCAACCCAUGAACUCAUUUAACUCUAAACUCAUUGGGUAAUGAGU